CCAGCUCGGACUGGUCCGCCGGGCCCAAGGGCUCUGGUGCCUUCUGGAAAGCGCUGGCUGGGACUUCACCCUCCUCCUGCAUGUGACGGACACAGCACUGAUCCUGGCAGCUCCUUACCCCCAGCAGCCCGAAACUCACUCCUUAAUUACACAAGGGAAACCUUUUACCUCCGCAGCCAGAGUCUGGGGGGAAAGGCAGGCGUGGGAAGCACUAACUCCCUCUCUGGAUAUCUGGAACAAGGAGGACCUUAAACUUAACAAUAAAGCCAAUGAUGGUUCUACCAGUCUCCCCAAAGCCUCAAGUUUAAAAGCCAUAUGAACUGGCUGAUAGUGGAAAAUGGAAGCCAUGAGGAAAUCAGAUUAGAGUACUACCUGGUGAAGCCUGGAGGACCUACCAAGAAAAGCAAACUUGGAUCUUUGCAAGGUUAGAAGAACGAAUGGGAUCCAAGAAAAAGACUGGUCAUAUUCAACGGCUAAGAGCGUUGGAGAAGGCCUGUGGAGUCUCAGCAGGUCAGGUCCAUGACUCAUGAGUAGACACCUGUGUUUCUACUGCCUGGUGCCAUAAUCAUAAACAAGAGUAAUCAGCAAAUGCCUUUCCUUUCUCCUGCUGAUGUUUUGCCCGUACUCAGACCCCUUGACUUCUUAGCUUCUACCCAAAGUGAGCUUGUCAUCAAAGUUCUCCAAAAAUCUGCAGUGUUCUCUUGAGCAAAUCUGCUUCCAAGACUAUAGCGCUCUGAUGCAUUGAGAUGACAGCAAGCGGCAUUUUUCAGUCCUGUUACCCAUAUGGCUGCUACCACUGCAUCCUGUUAAAUAAUGUCUUCAACCCAAGAAACCUGCUUCCUAGGGAAGUUUCUCUCUCUCUGCAUUUGUUCCCACUAGAGAAUGACCAUCACCAGAUUCCUGAACUGAAAAUGCUGUUGACACUUUGGAAACUCGGGCCUCUAUUAAUAGGGUGACCAACUAUCCUGGUUUACCUUGAGUACAGGAUUUUCAAUGCUAAAACCAGAAAAACCAGGAUGGUUGGUCAUCUGCCUCAGACCUAAUAAAUACCAGUCAAUAAUUCAGCCAUGAGCUUUCUUAAGACACUGUCUUUUCUUGACUGUUGAAUAGUCUAGGACUUGAGUAGCAGCUCUUUCUGCUACUGGACACUUGUUUUACUACCCUAUUUCUCUAGAUUUUAUUUUGUGGCUAAUAAUUAAGACAUAAAAUCAUGGGUUCUGGUUAUGCCAAAGCACUCACUCUUCAAAAGUUUCCAUCCAGAGUUGGAUAAUCCCACACAGAAGGUGUUCUUUCAACAGACCAGCAUCCAAUAGACCCAAUGCAGCAUUUUUCUUCCUGGUUCCACAUUAAUACAUCCUAUCUCUGCUAUGCUUAGGUCCCUGAUUUAUAAAUAUUUCAGACAUAUUUUCUCAGGACACAGGGAGUACUUAAACUUCCACAUAGCAGAGAUACGACAUACAAUAAGCUGUUAUCUGGAAACUCCUAGUGAUGCUUUGAGUACUUUACAGUAAUCUUUCUGGUCUUCCUCUCAACCCCAUUAAGUUUUUCUGUAACUAGCUGGUGUAUCUGUCUCCAUCUUUAAGGAAUAAGUCCCUAUUUGCUCAUGCUAUAAUCUCCCUCAUGCUCUCCGUCCCUCCUUCCCUCUCCUUCUCUCUUUCUGUCUCUCUCUCUCUCCACCCUGAUUGUGAGAUGCUACACCUUAAUAGUUUUCUAUACCUAGAUCCCUUUUGAAGGAGUAAUUUCAGCCAUCACUGAAAUCUAUGCUUUUUUAUCUUGUUAGAUUUAUUUAGGACCUAAUGACUGUUUCUGAGCUAAUAAUAACGCAAUCAGCUCAUAUUUUUCUGAUACUCUAAGAGCAAUUACAUCUAGUUGCAUCACCUUUUCCUUUUUUAUUCAUGUAUCUUAGGCUUCUCAAGAUAUGAGACUAGCACUUGAGCCUGAGAUAAGCCUUAAGAAUUCCAGGAUAGUCUCUCCAUAGUUCCCUUUCUUGGAUAAAGUCAUUUCAAAACAUCUUAGUGGAUCAGAUUUGGAGCAGCCUACUUACACUGGUGAAUACCACAACUAAUAAAUAAUUGUUCUGCACCCCACCCACAUCUAAAGGAUUCAGGGUGUCUUUUACAGAUAUAGGACUCUCCUUUCUCUGUUUCUCUUCUCUCUCUUCUCCUUGAUUAAAGCUUUGCUUCAGCUGUCCCUGCUCACUACGGCACUGCACCUCACCAGCAUCUUCAUGGCCCUCACAUGGCUCAUGUGCAUAUCCUAACUCUGAUACUAAGGGAGGAGACCACCCCUCAUAUUGUCUUAUGCCCAAUUUCUGCCUCCAAAGAAAGAAGAAGUAAAAACUAAAAGGCAGAAAUGAAAUCCACAAGCAGACAGCCCGGCGCCACACCCUGGGCCUGGUAGUUAAAGAUCGACCCCUGACCUAAUCGGUUAUUUGCAUAAGAAAAGCACUGUGAAGAUCCCUGUCCUGUUCUGUUCCAUUCUAAUUACCGGUGUAUGCAGCCCCCAGUCAUGUACCCCUGCUUGCUCAAUCGAUCACGACCCUCUCACGUGGACCCCCUUAGAGUUGUGGGCCCUUAAAAGGGACAGGAAUUGCUCACUCGGGGAGCUUGGUUGUUGGAGAUGUGAGUCUUGCUAAAGCUCCCAGCCGAAUAAAGCCCUUCCUUCUUAACUCGGUGUCUGAGAGGUUUAGUCUGCAGCUUGUCCUGCUCUAAUACCUG
rnacentral:lncRNA from 1 species